CCAAAGGCUCUUUUUAGAGCCACCCACUGUCUCACACAAGAGUAG
rfam:Sarcophilus harrisii ctg7180002490952, whole genome shotgun sequence.